rnacentral:rRNA from 1 species
CGAAAUGCGAUAAGUAAUGCGAAUUGCAUGCAAUUCAGUGAGUCAUCGAAUCUUUGAACGCAUAUUGCGCCCUUUGGCAUUACCGAAGGGCAUGCCUGUUCGAGCGUCAUUAUCAACCAUCAAGCACAGCUUGUCGUUGGACUCUUAUCGCUGUAACACGCGAUAGGAUCCGAAAGAUAAUGACGGGUGUCGUGUUGGACCCUCGAUGCAACGAGCUCUUUGUAGCACGCAUCGAACGUGUGCUCGUGCCAGCCCCGGUGCUACACCUCUAUUUUCUUCAGGUUGACCUCGGAUCAGUGUAGGAAUACCCGCUGAACUUAAGCAUAUCAAUAA